rnacentral:rRNA from 1 species
AACGGACGAGAAGCUUGCUUCUCUGAUGUUAGCGGCGGACGGGUGAGUAACACGUGGAUAACCUACCUAUAAGACUGGGAUAACUUCGGGAAACCGGAGCUAAUACCGGAUAAUAUUUUGAACCGCAUGGUUCAAAAGUGAAAGACGGUCUUGCUGUCACUUAUAGAUGGAUCCGCGCCGCAUUAGCUAGUUGGUAAGGUAACGGCUUACCAAGGCAACGAUGCAUAGCCGACCUGAGAGGGUGAUCGGCCACACUGGAACUGAGACACGGUCCAGACUCCUACGGGAGGCAGCAGUAGGGAAUCUUCCGCAAUGGGCGAAAGCCUGACGGAGCAACGCCGCGUGAGUGAUGAAGGUCUUCGGAUCGUAAAACUCUGUUAUUAGGGAAGAACAUAUGUGUAAGUAACUGUGCACAUCUUGACGGUACCUAAUCAGAAAGCCACGGCUAACUACGUGCCAGCAGCCGCGGUAAUACGUAGGUGGCAAGCGUUAUCCGGAAUUAUUGGGCGUAAAGCGCGCGUAGGCGGUUUUUUAAGUCUGAUGUGAAAGCCCACGGCUCAACCGUGGAGGGUCAUUGGAAACUGGAAAACUUGAGUGCAGAAGAGGAAAGUGGAAUUCCAUGUGUAGCGGUGAAAUGCGCAGAGAUAUGGAGGAACACCAGUGGCGAAGGCGACUUUCUGGUCGUGUAACUGACGCUGAUGUGCGAAAGCG